UGUUAAAGAAAUAUAAAAAGAAGAAAAACAAAAAACGCACUUGAGAGAGAUGAGAAAAGGGGGAGGUAGCGGGCGUGCUUGUCUGACCCUUGGAAGCUGAGAGCCCAAGAAGAAGAAGAAAAACAGUGGAGAUAGAGGUAAUUUAUCUUUAAUAUAUUUUGGUCAACCUAUAUGGAUCCAAUGGCCGAAGAGCAAAUAGAUUAUGAUGAUGAAGAGUAUGGAGGGGCUCAGAAGACACAAUAUCAAGGAAGUGGAGCCAUACCUGCCCUUGCAGAUGACGAACUGAUGGGAGAAGAUGACGACUAUGAUGAUCUCUACAAUGAUGUUAAUGUUGGAGAGGGUUUCCUGCAGCUGCACCGGUCUGAGGCGACACUGCCACCUGCUGGUGUUGGCAAUGGAGGACUUCAAACUCAGAAAACUGAUGUUCCUGGGCAAAGAGUGGAGGCUGGGGGCUCACAAGCACUCAACAUUCCUGGUGUUUCAGUUGAAGGCAAGUAUUCUAAUGCUGGUGCUCAUUAUCCUGAGCAGAAGGAGGGGCCAUCUGCUGUUAAGGGCGCAGAAGUUGGACCUGUUAGUUAUCCAGAUGGGCCAGUCUCACACAGAGGUAGGGUUGUGGACAUGCCUCAUGAUGCCCAAUUUAAAAGUAUGGGGUUUCAAGGAUCCACACCUGUGCCCCCCAAUUCUGGGGCUGACCCUUCUGAUAUGCCUGGAAAAAUUAGCAGUGAGCCCAUGCCUGUGCUGAAUUCUGGAACUGGUGGUCCUCGAACUGUUCCGCCUGCUAAUCAAAUCAGUGUGAAUGUAAAUGUCAAUCAUCCGAUAGUUAAUGAAAAUCAGAUCCGGCCCCCUGUAGAGAAUGGUCAAACCAUGCUGUUUGUGGGAGAACUACAUUGGUGGACUACUGAUUCAGAGCUUGAAAGUGUUUUAUCUCAAUAUGGGAGGGUCAAGGAAAUUAAGUUUUUUGAUGAAAGAGCUAGUGGUAAAUCCAAAGGCUAUUGUCAGGUUGAAUUCUAUGAGGCAGCUGCAGCCACUGCAUGCAAAGAGGGAAUGAAUGGUCAUGCUUUCAAUGGCCGAGCUUGUGUUGUGGCCUUUGCUUCUCCGCAAACAUUAAAACAGAUGGGAGCUUCAUAUGCGAACAAAAACCCACCUCAGACUCAGGCUCAACCUCAGGGAAGGAGGCCAAUGAAUGAUGGUGCAGGGAGAGGGGGCAAUAUGAAUUAUCAAAGUGGAGAUGGAGGAAGAAAUUAUGGACGGGGUGGAUGGGGACGGGGUGGACAGGGUGUACUCAACCGAGGCCCUGGGAGGGGAAGAGGAGGGGCCAUGGGUGCAAGGAACAUGGUUGGGAACAAUGGUGGAGUUGGAGGUGCCACUGGAGGAGGUUACGGUCAAGGCCUUGCAGGUCCUGCAUUUGGGGGUCCUGCUGGUGGUAUGAUGAACCCACAGGGUAUGAUGGGAUCUGGAUUUGAUCCAACAUAUAUGGGUCGUGGAGGCGGGUAUGGAGGGUUUCCAGGUCCUGCUUUUCCUGGAAUGCUUCCAUCUUUUCCAGCUGUUAAUACAAUGGGACUUGCUGGUGUGGCACCUCAUGUCAACCCAGCCUUCUUUGGUCGGGGAAUGGCAGCUAAUGGAAUGGGAAUGAUGGGUUCUGCUGGAAUGGAUGGUCAUCAUCCUGGGAUGUGGAAUGACACGAACAUGGGUGGAUGGGGAGGAGAAGAACAUGGUAGAAGGACGAGGGAGUCAAGCUAUGGUGGUGAUGAUGGUGCUUCUGAAUAUGGGUAUGGUGAGGCAAAUAAUGAAAAAGGAGUGAGGUCAAGUGCUGCCUCUAGGGAAAAAGAACGGGGAUCUGAGCGUGACUGGUCAGGAAACUCUGAGAGGAGGCCUCGUGAAGAGAGGGAACAGGACUGGGACAGGUCUGAAAGGGAGCCCAGGGAACACCGGUAUAGGGAAGAGAAAGAUAGUUAUCGAGACCAUCGGCCAAGAGAACGUGACGUGGGUUAUGAGGAUGAAUGGGACAGAGGGCAGUCUUCUUCAAGACCUCGGAGCAGGUCCCGAGCGGUGCCGGAGGAAGAUCGCAGGUCUCGAUCUAGGGAUGUUGAUUAUGGAAAAAGGAGACGCUUGCCAUCAGAGUGACACAAGCAUGAUGUCAUCUUCUUUGGCAGGUCUUAUGAGACCUCACAAUCUAUGUUCUCAGUUGUAGAUUUUCUCCCUUGGAUCCUAUUCUCUCUGGUUCUCAGCGGCCCCACAUUCAGAGUGUGGCUUCCUUGAGGGAAGAAGGAGUGGAGUAGGCAACAUUUUGUUUUCAUGGUUGAAUCAGCCUGUGCUGGUUUCAUGGAGGAAGAUGUGUUAAAUGGGUGCCUUUAUUGGAUUCCUCUGGUGAUGGCUUUGGUCUGCCAAGUGUGCAAAAGUAGCCUUAUACCAUCUAAAAAUCUGUAAAUUGUGCUCCUGCAAGAAAUGUCUAGAAAGAGUUGAGUUUACAAAUAUUUCAAAUAGUUGCAUAUUCGUGUACAGUUUGUGGAUACAAUCACCAUGUCUGUCGGUCUCUCUGUAAAGCACAAUACCUUUUUAUUUUUUUGAUAAGUCUAUGUAAAGCACAAUCUUGUGUAAAGUUGACUUUAUGUAUUAGGCCACAAUGUGUAACGGUCUCUUUUGUUGUUUGACUGUAUUGGUUCUAUCUCUGAGCUUGUAAAAGUUUCGUAGGCCCAUACUUGAUGUAUUGUAACUGAUAAUGUUUGUUCUUCACGUUAGGAGAGUCAGGGUCGAGCUAUUAGUCCAUUGUAACAUAUGGUCACUGUUUCAAUUGUAAUUGGUCAUUGUAAAAUUUGUACAACCCUGUUUCUGUUGAGGCAAUGUCCCUGAAAGCAGAAAGGAUUUCAGAGUUAUUCUUUAAUUGUAUUAUGUAAACUGUGAGGAUUACUUGGGUUUAGGGUCAGGACUCAGGAGUCGUGUAUUGAUGCUACAGUAUAAUAGACUCGGGACCUGAAGAUUUUUGGUUGCUUGGCAUGGUGCUGCUCCUUGUGUACCUUUUGUUUUAACCUUUUAUAUGUAUUUCGUUUUAUCUGUGAAGCAGUUUCUUUUGUACUAACGGGUUUAGAAUUUGUAAGUGUUCUUGUCCUGUUUGUUUAAAUGGGAUUUGGAAUGUAUCCCAAUAAUGUAAACUGGAUCAUGUUAUUUUAGUAGUUUUGUUAGGACUGCAUCAUCUUUGAUGGAGGUGUGCUUGCUCAGCGACUUGCUUCAGUGUGUUUUUCCUGAUUGGUACUACUUGCUCAAUGAAAGCUUACAAGGUUUUUAUUCACAACUUCUUCUUUGUUGGAAGCUUCAGUGUCGCUUAUCCAGUCUCUUCAUCUAUCCCCCUCUUUUUGUGGUGUUAUUUUGUUAAGAGAAUCUUUUUUACUAGAAUUUGUUACUGAAUUAAUCUGCCAGUAAUGGUGUAAUUGAGCUUGGUUAUCAUUUU